rnacentral:sRNA from 1 species
UAUGUUUUUUUUAUUAGGGACAGUGAAGGCCGAGGAGAAUUAUUUCUACCCACCGGAAGUCAUGUAUGAGCCUCUGAAGCUACCCAAAUUCGUGCCACCAGUGACGUUCAAGGACACACUAGUACAAGUUCCCGUCACCUACAGGGGGAACACGUCAGAAUCUCAUCUCGGCCAACGGACUCUACCAGGGUGCGAAACUUGGCGACGCCCAAAACAGUAUGUAGACAGCUAUGAUGUUUGGUGGACUAGACAUUAACUUCUUUCACUGGAUGGUGAUGAAACUUCAUAUUAUUACCAAUACCACUGGCCUACAUGGAUCUGACUUGUACAUUUUUAUACAAACAGUAUUAUUAGUUGCUUUUUUUUUUUUUGGUUCAAAAUAAAGAUUUGUGAACAAUCUUUUUCAAAGCAGUGUAGAUUUUUCAAAUAUAUAUUUUAUAUGUAUCAGUGCAAUCUUGAUUUAAAUUUAUACUAGUGUCAGUAUUUGUAUUACAUGUAACUUCUUUUAUAUAAAACAAUAGGUCUGUAUUGUUGACACUUAGCAACUUUAAAAAUAUUCAGUACUUAUUGAACCAUCUGAAUCCAGGUAGGAUAGAGUUGUGUUGUGAUAUGAAAUUUGAUUCAAUUCUAGAGAAAUUACUAAUAGUAAUAUGUUUUGAAUACACAUUUUUCUAUACUAGUCCAAAA